AUUGAACGCUGGCGGCAGGCCUAACACAUGCAAGUCGAGCGGGGUUUUCGGACCUAGCGGCGGACGGGUGAGUAAUGCGUAGGUAGCUGCCCGAUAGAGGGGGAUACCAGUUGGAAACGACUGUUAAUACCGCAUAAUGUCUACGGACCAAAGUGUGGGACCUUCGGGCCACAUGCUAUCGGAUGCGCCUACGUGGGAUUAGCUCGUUGGUGAGGUAUGGCUCACCAAGGUGACGAUCUCUAGCUGGUUUGAGAGGAUGAUCAGCCACACUGGAACUGAGACACGGUCCAGACUCCUACGGGAGGCAGCAGUGGGGAAUAUUGGACAAUGGGCGCAAGCCUGAUCCAGCCAUGCCGCGUGUGUGAAGAAGGCCUUCGGGUUGUAAAGCACUUUCAGCGAGGAGGAAGGGGUGUGUGUUAAUAGUACACACCUUUGACGUUACUUGCAGAAGAAGCACCGGCUAACUCUGUGCCAGCCGCCGCAGUAAGAC
rnacentral:rRNA from 1 species